rnacentral:rRNA from 1 species
UGCAAGUCGAGGGGAAACGACAUCGAAAGCUUGCUUUUGAUGGGCGUCGACCGGCGCACGGGUGAGUAACGCGUAUCCAACCUGCCCACCACUUGGGGAUAACCUUGCGAAAGUAAGACUAAUACCCAAUGACGUCUCUAGAAGACAUCUGAAAGAGAUUAAAGAUUUAUCGGUGAUGGAUGGGGAUGCGUCUGAUUAGCUUGUUGGCGGGGUAACGGCCCACCAAGGCGACGAUCAGUAGGGGUUCUGAGAGGAAGGUCCCCCACAUUGGAACUGAGACACGGUCCAAACUCCUACGGGAGGCAGCAGUGAGGAAUAUUGGUCAAUGGGCGAGAGCCUGAACCAGCCAAGUAGCGUGCAGGAUGACGGCCCUAUGGGUUGUAAACUGCUUUUAUAAGGGAAUAAAGUGAGUCUCGUGAGACUUUUUGCAUGUACCUUAUGAAUAAGGACCGGCUAAUUCCGUGCCAGCAGCCGCGGUAAUACGGAAGGUCCGGGCGUUAUCCGGAUUUAUUGGGUUUAAAGGGAGCGUAGGCCGGAGAUUAAGCGUGUUGUGAAAUGUAGACGCUCAACGUCUGCACUGCAGCGCGAACUGGUUUCCUUGAGUACGCACAAAGUGGGCGGAAUUCGUGGUGUAGCGGUGAAAUGCUUAGAUAUCACGAAGAACUCCGAUUGCGAAGGCAGCUCACUGGAGCGCAACUGACGCUGAAGCUCGAAAGUGCGGGUAUCGAACAGGAUUAGAUACCCUGGUAGUCCGCACGGUAAACGAUGGAUGCCCGCUGUUGGUCUGAAUAGGUCAGCGGCCAAGCGAAAGCAUUAAGCAUCCCACCUGGGGAGUACGCCGGCAACGGUGAAACUCAAAGGAAUUGACGGGGGCCCGCACAAGCGGAGGAACAUGUGGUUUAAUUCGAUGAUACGCGAGGAACCUU